GUCUAUGGCCAUGCUACCCUGAACAAGCCUGAUCCUGUCUGAUCUUGGAAGCUAAGCAGGGUCAGGCCUGGUUAGUACUUGGAUGGGAGACCACCAAAGAAGACCAGGUGCUGUAGGCG
rnacentral:rRNA from 1 species